rnacentral:lncRNA from 1 species
GAUCAUCUGGUCUCAGGCAGCUGGCUGUUUCCCUCCCCCGCAAAGAGCUCCAGAAAUAGACUCCAGCACCUUGCUGGGCUGUGGCACAAGGCUCUCAGGGUGGCCUGCUGGCUGCCCACAGCCUCUGAGACAGGAGCCAGGUGAGGGCAGAUAAACUCCCCUGGGCUGGGCCACCGCGCAUUAGCCUCCGCGGAGAAAGACGGCUUCCGUCUCCUGCCCAGGAGACCCAGGCACCUGCUUCCAUGUGGCCCCUUAGCAGACCAGACCUGAGAGCAACAGUUAGACCCUUGCCUGUGAGCAGGCAGCCUGGAGCCCCUUCAUCAUCCGCCCCUUGGGCUCCUUCCUCCAAGAGAGACCCUUUGUGGAGAGGGUGACCUUGGAUUCACUCCUGGAUGAAGAGGGUUUCCCGAGAGGGCUUGGCACCGAGACAACAUGGGACAGCUGCUGCAAAACUUCGGAAAGGAUCUCAGGGAUGAAGUUUCUGACUCCAUCCCAUGUCUUCACCUUGAUCUCUGGCUCAGACCACGUUGGAUGAUGGGAUAGAAAUAAACGAUGUUGAUUUAGCAACCUGACAAAACAGCAAUGCAAGCCUGCUCAUUCUUUCUUUCUUUUUUUUUUUUUUUUUUUUUUUUUUUUUUUUGUCUUUUUGCCUUUUCUGGGGCCGCUCCCACGGCAUAUGGAGGUUCCCAGGCUAGGGGUUGAAUUGGAGCUGCAGCCACCGGCCUACACCACAGCCAUAGCAACGUGAGAUCCAAGCCGCAUCUGCAGCCUACACUGCAGCUCACGGCAACACUGGAUCCUUAACCUACUGAGCGAGGCCAGGGACCAAACCCGCAACCUCAUGGCUCCUAAUCGGAUUCGUUAAUCACUGUGCCACGACAGGAACUCCAAGCCUGCUCAUUAUUGAGGGAAAUAAAGGAGCGAGAGGGAAGACAGGUGGUGAAGCCUGGUAUCUGAUGUUCCUGCCCUGUUGCUUUGGAUGGAGAACUGGAAACAGAAAUGAUGUUUGAGGAGGGACCAGCAAAAACCAAAUCCCCCACCUGAACUCGGAUUGGAGGGACCCCGAGGGUGACCCUGUCUCACCUGCAAGGUCAGAAACAGAGGGACAGGAGAGCCAAGUAG